AGGGCACAGUCCGGGUCCCAGCUCCUUGCAUGUAUGCGCAUAAGUUAGCCUUUAUGACUGGACAGACUGUUAAUGGUCCAGCACAUCGUGAUCUUCAGGAUAGACUGUGGUAUCUCUGAAGAUGAUGAUAUAGUAAUUAGUUUAGUU
rnacentral:lncRNA from 1 species